rnacentral:tRNA from 1 species
GCCGGAGUAGCUCAGUGGUAGAGCAGGGGUUUUGUAAACCUCAGGUCGUGAGUUCGAAUCUCUCCUCCGGCU